GCUGGGUAUGGUGGUGCAGACCUGUAAUCCCAGCAAUUUGGGAGGCUGAGAUAGGAGGACCGCAAGUUCAGGGGUAUUCAACCACUGAGCCACAUCCCCAGUACUAUUUUGGAUUUUAUUU
rnacentral:sRNA from 1 species